UUGUUUCUCUCUAGAACAACUUUCAUUUUAAAAGUGUGUAAAACGCUCUCAUGUGUGUGAGCCCAUCUGGGUUUGGGGUUUCGCUGACUUUCCAGCCCACUAUGGGCCUGGCCCCAGGAAAGAUUUGUUGAACGGGAAAUUAAGACGGGAAUUGGUUCGUUUGAGAACCGUUUUCUAGCAGCUGCUGCGUGCUCCACAAGGUGCCGGAACGGGAUCUCCAGAGUGACCUUGUGCCCAAAGCUUGUAGUCAGCGGUGAGAAACGAGAAACGGAUACAAAGUAAUGGGGGAGGAGGUAAAUCAGAGGAACAGGCAUCAGGAACAGAAAUACACAGGAAACGCUGUACAUACGCUGAAGCAGAACUGCAGUUUCCGAAGGCCAGCAUCUGGUCCACAUAGUACUAGAGAAUAUAUUAUUUCCAAAAUCACCUAACUUUUACUCAUGCACUUAUUAUAGUAAGUUGUUUUUGUUCUUUUUUUAAAAAAUAAAUCUCAGCGAUUUGUUCCUGAAAA